UACGUAGGGGGCAAGCGUUGUCCGGAAUCAUUGGGCGUAAAGCGCGUGUAGGCGGCUGACUAAGUCCGCUCUGAAAGCCCGGGGCUCAACCCCGGGAGGCGGGUGGAUACUGGUCAGCUCGAGUCCGGAAGAGGAGUGUGGAAUUCCUGGUGUAGCGGUGAAAUGCGCAGAUAUCAGGAGGAACACCAAUGGCGAAGGCAGCACUCUGGGGACGGUACUGACGCUGAGACGCGAAAAGCGUGGGGGAGCAAACAGG
rnacentral:rRNA from 1 species